AACGAACGCUGGCGGCAUGCCUACCACAUGCAAGUCGAACGAGACCUUCGGGUCUAGUGGCGCACGGGUGCGUAACGCGUGGGAACCUGCCCUUAGGUUCGGAAUAACUCCCCGAAAGGGGUGCUAAUACCGGAUAAUGUCUUCGGACCAAAGAUUUAUCGCCUUUGGAUGGGCCCGCGUUGGAUUAGCUAGUUGGUAGGGUAAAAGCCUACCAAGGCGACGAUCCAUAGCUGGUCUGAGAGGAUGAUCAGCCACACUGGGACUGAGACACGGCCCAGACUCCUACGGGAGGCAGCAGUGGGGAAUAUUGGACAAUGGGCGAAAGCCUGAUCCAGCAAUGCCGCGUGAGUGAUGAAGGCCUUAGGGUUGUAAAGCUCUUUUAACCGGGAUGAUAAUGACAGUACCGGGAGAAUAAGCUCCGGCUAACUCCGUG
rnacentral:rRNA from 1 species